GGAAGACAGGAUGAGGAGAAGAAAGAAAGCGAAGAGAGAGGAGGACGAGGACAUUAUAAUUUACUAGCCAGUACUCAUUCCCCUGAGCAGAGCCUGAAGGCACCAUAAUGUAACUGAAGUGAACCUCUGCUAACCUCUGUGUGACUCUGUUGUUUAGCUCACCGGAUGCUAAUGCUAACUAGCUCUCUUGUUGAUUUCAACACUGAUUUGUUGUUCACAGUGAAGCUUCAUCAGGUUUACUGCGUCUCAAACAUGUUCUUUUGUACAGGAAACGUCUAGAACAAGUUCACGUUUUUACCAAAGUGUCUUCUUCAGACGUCACUGACUAAAGUGUGAGCUGCUGAUUCUCUUAUUAGUGAGAGUUUGUAUUUAAAUAAACAUCAGCGGAGGAUCAACGAGGCUGUGAAGGAUCAUAUAUUAGUGAUAUGUGCCGGUCCUUUAAGGGGAAGAAGUUUAACAGUCAACACUUCAGCAUCUUGUUUUAAAGGAAGAGCCUCAUCUCUGUAAUCAUUUCCUAAAUGUGUGAUUUUAAACUGUGAGUGAGGGUUAGCUCUGGAGCUAACGUGUGACGUGUGUUCGGUUCCUUCAGGGCUACAACUGGGGCCACGAUAAGAACGUGGUGACCAUCUUUAGUGCUCCAAACUACUGCUACCGCUGUGGAAACCAGGCGGCCAUCAUGGAGCUGGACGACACUCUGAAAUACUCUUUCCUUCAGUUUGACCCCGCCCCCCGCCGCGGAGAGCCCCACGUGACCAGACGCACUCCUGACUACUUCCUGUGAAUGUCCAAAAAAAAGCCAUCCCUGUCAAUCAUCCACGAAACCCCGCCCCAUCCCCUCCCCCCCCCUCUCAUCUUGGAUGGAAAGAAGAUGUUAAUAAUAAUGAUAUUAUUACUGUAAACCAGGAGAAUUGAAACAAAACGAUUGGCUGAUGAACCAAGAUUUUAACAAAGAGAGAACCCUAAAGCCCCCCCCCCCCCUACUUGUUUUCAAUAUGCUGUCCUGUCAUUAACGCUGUGCUUCUGGGGAAAAACAACUAUGAUCUGUUUUCUUUCUGUUUUUUUGUUUAUUACAUGUUUGAAAAACGAGAUAAUAAAACUACCAACGUGGACCAAAUGUGCCAUAUUCUGAUCCUUUACCACAUGUACGAUGCGCUGUUUCUUUAUUUAGACUAUAACUCCUCCCACCUGAUGACACCAUCACCAACACACACCACACUUCUUCUUCUCUUCUCUUCUUCUUCUUUAUGGCAUAUGUGCUUUUUUUUCUUUUCUUUUUUCUGUUGCAAGAAUAAUUUUAACAACAAAAGGAGAGAAAAAUAAAAACCAGGAAAAACAAGAGUUCGCUUGAAGUAGUACAGCUGUGAGUUUGUAGCCGGUGGUCAUCUCAGCAAGUAUAUUACUGUAAUUUGAAUAAAAGACAAACGGACGUAUCAAAUAAAAAUGUCCUGUUGACAAACUAC